CUAUCUACCGUGGGCGCUGGAAAUUUGAGAGGAUCUGCUCCUAGUACGAGAGGACCAGAGUGGACUUACCGCUGGUGUACCAGUUGUCUUGCCAAAGGCAUCGCUGGGUAGCUAUGUAGGGAAGGGAUAAACGCUGAAAGCAUCUAAGUGUGAAACCCACCUCAAGAUGAGAUUUCCCAUGAUUUUAUAUCAGUAAGAGCCCUGAGAGA
rnacentral:rRNA from 13 species